rnacentral:rRNA from 1 species
GCAGGCUGCAACUCGCCUGCAUGAAGUCGGAAUGCUAGUAAUCGCGGAUCAGCAUGCCGCGGUGAAUACGUUCUCGGGCCUUGUACACACCGCCCGUCACACCAUGGGAGUCGGUAACACCCGAAGUCUGUAGCCUGACGCAAAGAGGGCGCAGCCGAAGGUGGGAUUGAUGACUGGGGUGAAGUCGUAACAAGGUAGC